GACGGUCAGGAUGGAAUGAAAUCUCAGAAGUGAUUAAGUAGUUAAUUACAGUUUUUUACAACGUAAUAACUGAAACCUUUUCACUGCUACAGACUACAGGUAACGCAGUGAAGUACUAGCACAGUCUCACUGCUCCUCUUUCAGUCGCUUUCUCUCUACAGACUAAAGAUCAACAGGGAAGCGGUCAGUAGAACAGUGGACGUCGUCGCAGAGGCAUGCAGUGGUAGCAGCAAGUUGCAGCGCCGAUGAAGAGCCGAUUUCCCGGCCACGUGUUCUUGAAUCGGAGAGAAAUCAGGUAGUCAUCGGAGGAGGAGAGAAAAAGGAAAAGAAAAGAG
rnacentral:lncRNA from 1 species